UCCUCUUUGUAAUGAAAAUUAAACUUCAACAUUUUUCACAGUCGUUUAGACAACGGUCUGGUCUGUUUUAAGGCCCAUAUCCAUUAUUUACUCGUAGCCUAUCUGCCUGGCAACGGACGAUCACGUCGAAUGACGUGAACAUUCGCGAACCUUCUAUCUAGCGAUCCGUUAUCUUUAUUGUGCUAUUUCGUCCUUGACCUGCUUUAAAUACUCAGUUUACUUGCUCAAUUUGAUUAAACAAUUAAAUACAAUACAAAUAUAAAGUAAAAACAAGUGUUAUCAAGCGAUCCGUUAACUGUAUUAUGUUAUUUCGUCUUUGGCAACAUGAGCGCGAAUGUUUUUUGAAACCUGCCCGGCAACGGACGACGCGAUCAUCUGCUGAAAGGCAGGUUUGGAAUGGAUUACGUAUGGAUGACGCGCCCGGUACAAAUUUGGCAGCCGGUACAAAUUUAGUGUGACAGUGCCCGCGUUGCCCGGGCUGCUGUCACGGGCCCGCAGUUCCAGGGCCAUUCAUUCAUUCACGGGGCACGCGGGAGACGCGGGAGUGCCGUGGCCGCGUUGCCCACGGUUCCCGGGCCAUUCAUUCAUUCGUUCGCGGGGCACGGCGAGAGUCGGGGGAGACGCGGGAACGCCGUGGCCACGGUGUUCCAGCAGAGUUUGGUCUCAUAGUGUCUAUUGCCCCUUUUCCAUCCUCUUUGUAAUGAAAAUUAAGCUUAAACAUUUUUCACAGUCGUUUAGACAACGCCUGUUUGUGAUUUAUUAUGGUAGCAUUAUGGAACUUGGUCCUCAUCAUCUUCUAUUUUGUGUUCUGCAGCUUCAACUUUUCUGCCAUUGCCUCCUCUGCUGGGUUUGAUUGAUCAAGAUGAGUUUUCAUCUCAUUAAGUUUGCCAACGGGGACAUUGCUGUGGUCCCGGAAAAUUGGUGUGAUGACGGGAUGGUGUACUGGCCAAAAUAUAAAAACACCGAACGUGCCAAAAGGGCAGCGGCCAACAGUGAGACACCAGAGUCAAACUGGCCAAAAUAUGACAUCAUGGUCAUCAGAACUUGUGACAACUACAAAGAUGCCUGUAGGCUAAUGGAGAAGUACCAGACGGGCUGCAACACCACUGAUCUUCAGUCUGAGGCAGAGGAGGAGUGUGGGCCGCCAGAUAAACGACUAAGGAAGGCAGUGCAUCACUUUGGGGACUCUGAUGAGAGUGAAGAUGGUGGCCAAUUGCACUGGCAGACUCCAACAUCUCGCCGAGGGCCAGGCAGCAGCAGCAGAGUCUCUCUGCUCUCUGCACUUGAGGAAAACUGUCUCGGUAAAGACUGA
rnacentral:lncRNA from 1 species